CCUACGGGCGGCAGCAGUGGGGAAUAUUGGACAAUGGGCGAAAGCCUGAUCCAGCCAUGCCGCGUGUGUGAAGAAGGCCUUCGGGUUGUAAAGCACUUUCAGUGGGGAAGAAAGCCUUGGGGCUAAUACCCUCGAGGAAGGACAUCACCCACAGAAGAAGCACCGGCUAACUCCGUGCCAGCAGCCGCGGUAAUACGGAGGGUGCGAGCGUUAAUCGGAAUUACUGGGCGUAAAGCGCGCGUAGGCGGUCUGAUAAGCCGGUUGUGAAAGCCCCGGGCUCAACCUGGGAACGGCAUCCGGAACUGUCAGGCUAGAGUGCAGGAGAGGAAGGUAGAAUUCCCGGUGUAGCGGUGAAAUGCGUAGAGAUCGGGAGGAAUACCAGUGGCGAAGGCAGCCUUCUGGACUGACACUGACGCUGAGGUGCGAAAGCGUGGGUAGCAAACAGGAUUAGAUACCCGUGUAGUC
rnacentral:rRNA from 1 species